GAGUUUGAUCCUGGCUCAGGACGAACGCUGGCGGCGUGCUUAACACAUGCAAGUCGAACGGAAAGGCCCUUCGGGGUACUCGAGUGGCGAACGGGUGAGUAACACGUGGGUGAUCUGCCCUGCACUCUGGGAUAAGCCUGGGAAACUGGGUCUAAUACCGGAUAGGACCACACACUUCAUGGUGAGUGGUGCAAAGCUUUUGCGGUGUGGGAUGAGCCCGCGGCCUAUCAGCUUGUUGGUGGGGUAAUGGCCCACCAAGGCGACGACGGGUAGCCGGCCUGAGAGGGUGACCGGCCACACUGGGACUGAGAUACGGCCCAGACUCCUACGGGAGGCAGCAGUGGGGAAUAUUGCACAAUGGGCGCAAGCCUGAUGCAGCGACGCCGCGUGAGGGAUGACGGCCUUCGGGUUGUAAACCUCUUUCAGUAGGGACGAAGCGAAAGUGACGGUACCUACAGAAGAAGGACCGGCCAACUACGUGCCAGCAGCCGCGGUAAUACGUAGGGUCCGAGCGUUGUCCGGAAUUACUGGGCGUAAAGAGCUCGUAGGUGGUUUGUCGCGUUGUUCGUGAAAACUCACAGCUUAACUGUGGGCGUGCGGGCGAUACGGGCAGACUAGAGUACUGCAGGGGAGACUGGAAUUCCUGGUGUAGCGGUGGAAUGCGCAGAUAUCAGGAGGAACACCGGUGGCGAAGGCGGGUCUCUGGGCAGUAACUGACGCUGAGGAGCGAAAGCGUGGGUAGCGAACAGGAUUAGAUACCCUGGUAGUCC
rnacentral:rRNA from 1 species